rnacentral:rRNA from 1 species
ACACUAGACUGAUGAGUUGCGAACGGGUGAGUAACGCGUAGGUAACCUGCCUCAUAGCGGGGGAUAACUAUUGGAAACGAUAGCUAAUACCGCAUAAGAGUAAUUAACACAUGUUAGUUAUUUAAAAGGAGCAAUUGCUUCACUGUGAGAUGGACCUGCGUUGUAUUAGCUAGUUGGUGAGGUAAAGGCUCACCAAGGCGACGAUACAUAGCCGACCUGAGAGGGUGAUCGGCCACACUGGGACUGAGACACGGCCCAGACUCCUACGGGAGGCAGCAGUAGGGAAUCUUCGGCAAUGGACGGAAGUCUGACCGAGCAACGCCGCGUGAGUGAAGAAGGUUUUCGGAUCGUAAAGCUCUGUUGUUAGAGAAGAACGUUGGUAGGAGUGGAAAAUCUACCAAGUGACGGUAACUAACCAGAAAGGGACGGCUAACUACGUGCCAGCAGCCGCGGUAAUACGUAGGUCCCGAGCGUUGUCCGGA